UCAUCUAUCUUCCUGUAGGUUUCAAAAGGUGAAGAUUUUGUCUUUUCCCAUUGUAAUUUCUACAGAACAGCGUGACCUCGAGGUGGAGGUUGGAGAUGCUACUGAGGGCAUGUGUGUUUGAGAGAGGGGGAACCAGUGAAUCCUAGAGUAACUACUUCACGUUGUUAUUUGUCCACAAGAACAGUUAUCAUCUCCCCCUCCCCACUGUUUUUUUUUAAAGAUAUCUAUUUAUGCACACAAGAACUGGGGUACAGGCCAGAGGCGCGAGGCGGAGGGGGGCAGGCUGAGAGCAUUCACCAGAGACAGAGUGGGGAACAAAACAGGCAGACUGACUGAAAUACACUGCUGAGGGGAGCAGCAAGCAAGUCAGGAGAGGUCUGCUGCGCCAUGUGGGUAGCUCCCUGGCCAGGGAUCGCACUCAUGCCGCAGUGGCUGCGGAUAGCCUCAUAGGUUGCAUCUCAACUCCUUGAGCCACCCGGGAGGCCCCCCCACUGUUUUUUUAAUGAUGCUGGCCACUAAAAAAUGCCUGCUGUGGCAGCCAAGAAACAGCAGGUGGUAAGGAGGGGGAAACUAUGUUUUUUGUAACGUUCUCUGGAAGAACCAUUGAAGUAAAGUAGUGUGAUCUUAAAUCUGCAGUGUCUCCCAGAAUCCACAUUCCAGUGCCUGUUGGGUUGUCUUCUGAUCUAUCUUUUUCUUCCUUCCCACCCAUUGGUGUAAUCCCUGAAAGGAAUUUUUGAUUUCAAUACGAACAGAGUAAACAGAACAUUCUAGGCCAGAAUUCCAGCUUCUAAUCCAGAUGAAAUAAUCCUUUGUAGUUGUUAAUGUUUAGUCAGUGUCUCAAAUGCCAUCCAGACUUUGUGGUGGACGAUCAGGUGCUGCAGCUGCCCAGCCAGAGCUGGUCCAUGACUACAGUAGCUAAAAUGGGCAAAAGAGGUACUGUGAGAAGCCUGAACUCAUUCAUAGAAGAGGGUGUUGACUUCAGGCCCCUUUCUGCAGAGCUGGAGUGAAAGGUGGACUGAAUGGAAACUUCAUGUGGUUUCUGUACAUGGAGCAAGGCGGAGACUGCUGGGAAAGUUGGCUUUCGAGACAGGUGGUGAUCAUGAUGACAAGUGUGCACAACCCUUGAGAGCACGUCUGGACACAAACUAAUUAAGCUAAGCACUUACUAAAAUUGCUUUCCAUUGUGCAGGAGCAGAAAACAAUCCAGUCUGCUAAAUCUGCAGGGCAGACUGGCUCAUGGGCAGAGCUUCCUUCAGCCAGUCCCACAAGUUCGCCUUUCCAGGGUUUAGAACUUCUUUGACUUAUACUAGCAUUGACAUCUGCAAAGUGAUGUUGAAAAGGACCCCCCAAAAAUGAAGAAUGAAAUAUAUUUCCCAGCUCAGAGCCUGGACCACUUCAAAGCUUUUGGGCAAUUAUGAAAGUUUCCUACAAUUUUAAGAUCCUGCCAAGGUCAAGGAAGACAAUCUCUGCUUUGUCACAUUAUGUUCUGGUAUAAGGGUUGAUCAUUUAAUGAAAUUGUUAUAGAAAAGCCAGCAGCCAGAGAACAUCAGACUUGUAUGUGUCACUGGGAGAACAUCUUUCACAAACAAUUAGCUCUUUAUAAGACGUAUGAUAGUCUUCACAUUUAUCACAUAUGUCCCAUGCCUUGUGAAUAAAAACACCAUUUAUAACCUACCAAAAUUAAUCUGGGCCCAACAGAAGAAAAGGAAGUCAGCCCUUUAGUAAUUUGUGGGUGAGUUAACUCAUUCAAAUCUGAAAACACCAUCAUAAAUGCUUUAACUGAUGAACCUUUACCCAUUUGGCCUUCUAAGAUAUUAAAGAAAGCUUAAAACUCUCUUUUGGCUGACUGGUCAUAAAUUUCAAAGAACCAAAAUGCACUCCAUUUCACUCAAGAAAAAAGAGAUUUGUUAUAGAAUGUGGGUGUAGUCAAUAGUAAGAAACAAACAAAACAGGUAGGAAACAAACCAAGAAUCUCCAGGCCCCUCAGUUGAAUAUGUUCAUGAACUUUUCUUUCUAAUACAGCUGGUCAUCUUCUUCCUAGUCAAUGAAUUGGUACCCAAGAUCAUAUACUUACACCUGAUCUAUCCAACAGUAUCCACAGAUCUAUCCAACAGUAUCGUGUAAAAUCUAGAGUUACACUCUUUUGGUAAUGAGUGGAAUAGACUGAGUUUAGGUAUUUGCAGUGUGUUAAUCUGAACAAAUUUGGGGUUUGAGCCUUACAAAUAUUACUCAUUUUCUAGGCCCCAAACAAUUUCAGUUCUGUCAUCUUACUAGUAACUCAUGAGCAUGACCAUAGAUAUUGGCUGAAAGAAUACAAGUGAAUUUAGAGAACUCUGUCUCUGCUACUGAAGGGGAAAAACUGCAAUAAUUCAUAG